UUUUGACGUUUAGCUGCAGAAGAAGCACCGGCUAACUCCGUGCCAGCAGCCGCGGUAAUACGGAGGGUGCGAGCGUUAAUCGGAAUUACUGGGCGUAAAGCGCAUGCAGGUGGUUUGUUAAGUCAGAUGUGAAAGCCCCGGGGCUCAACCUCGGAAUUGCAUUUGAAACUGGCAAACUAGAGUACUGUAGAGGGGGUAGAAUUUCAGGUGUAGCGGUGAAAUGCGUAGAGAUCUGAAGGAAUACCGGUGGCGAAGGCGGCCCCCCUGGACAGAUACUGACACUCAGAUGCGAAAGCGUGGGGAGCAAAACAGGAUUAGAUACCCCUGGUAG
rnacentral:rRNA from 1 species